UCCUGGCGGAGGGGCCAUGGAGGGACCGGGACCGUCCCCCGGCCCUCCCUCCCUCCCUCCCUCCCUCCCUCCCUCCCGCCAUCGAUCCCGGCCGCCCCAGGGAUUUCAUCCCCAUUGAUCCCGGAAUUCCCACCUGGAAGCACAGGGCCCCGUGGCGGUCGGCGUCGAAGGCGUCGAACAAGAAGUGGGCGUAGGAGCUGGCGUCUGCGGGCAGGGACGGUGACCCCCGGCCCCGGGCAGGACCCCCCGGGGGGCUCGGGGACCCCCGACUCACCGCCUUGAGGGAAGAACCGCGAGUAGAUGAGCGUGAAGGUCUCCUCAUCCACGAGGCCGCUGGGACAUUCCUGCCGAGGGAGCGGCGCCGGUGACCCCGAGGGACGCGGGACCCGCGGGUUUGGGGGGCCGGGACCCCAACCCCGGGCUCACGUUCUUGAAGCCGCGGUAGAGGGACUGGAGCUCGGCCUUGGUGAACUUGGUGCGGGCCAGCAGCUGCUCCAGCUCCUCGGGCUGGUGCCGGGCGCUCGGGAGCUCCACGUCGGCAUCGCCGCUGUCUGUGAGGGACCCGGGGAAAGACCCCCUUAGAGACACCCCAAAUCCCCCCCUGGGCAAAGACCCCCCUAGAGACACCCCGACACCCCAAACCCGCGGCCCCCGGAGCCCCCGGGGCCCCGCACGCCGCGGGUGCCGCGUCCCGGGGGUUUCCCACAUUCCCCAGGCACCGAACGUUCCCGAGCCGCCUCUUGGCCGCUGCCGCUCCGCCCGGCCCGGCGGAAGGUCAUUAAUAAAUGAUGCUUCAUUAAUAA